rnacentral:rRNA from 1 species
CCUACGGGUGGCAGCAGUGAGGAAUAUUGGUCAAUGGACGAGAGUCUGAACCAGCCAAGCAGCGUGAAGGAUGACUGCCCUAUGGGUUGUAAACUUCUUUUAUAUGGGAGUAAAAUGUUCUACGUGCGGGAUUAUGUAUGUAUCAUAUGAAUAAGGAUCGGCUAAAUCUGUGCCAGCAGCCGCGGUAAUACGGAGGAUCCGAGCGUUAUCCGGAUUCAGUGGGUUUAAAGGGAGCGUAGGUGGAUUGUUAAGUCAGUUGUGAAAGUUUGCGGCUCAACCGUAAGAUUGCAGUUGAAACUGGCGGUCGUGAGUACAGUGGAGGUGGGCGGAAUUCGUGGUGUAGCGGUGAAAUGCU